rnacentral:rRNA from 1 species
UACGUAGGGUGCAAGCGUUGCCCGGAUUUAUUGGGCGUAAAGGGCGCGUAGGCGGCUCGGCACGUCCGUUGUGAAAUCGCCCGGCUCAACUGGGCGGGGUCAGCGGAUACGGUCGAGCUUGAGCAAGCUAGGGGGCAAUGGAAUUCCCGGUGUAGUGGUGGAAUGCGUAGAUAUCAGGAGGAACACCCAUGGCGAAGGCAGCGAGCUGGGCCACAUCUGACGCUGAGGCGCGAAAGCGUGGGUAGCAAACAGG